ACAACCCGACGAAGGAACAUCAAAACAUAACAGUUCCCAUAAAAGUUGGGGGGGACGGGCUAGCCAAGAAGAAAAUAGAGAAUUGGUCCGUUGCGCCCUGGCGACCCAAUCGGCAACUUGAUUUGCGGAUCAGUUGCAGUGGGCCACAGUUAGGUUUGUGAAUUGGGCCAUUCGAACGUGCGCUUCUUUAAUCAAGACUUCCUCUUCCCAGCCGACUUCUCUCUGGUUCUGUAGCUUCUUCACUAUCUCAAGGCAGUUUGUUUCUAUUACAAUUUCCUGCGUUCUUCUGUCAACGAAGAAAGUCAGGGCAUGCAGCAAGGCUUGCAGUUCGAUGUGAAGCGACGAGAUUGCAGGGACUGUCUUGGUGAAACCGUUCAGCAACGAUCCAGCUUCAUUUCUGAGGAUUCCAGAAACCGCUCCUACUGCUGCAUCUUCAAGGAAAGAUCCGUCUAUGUUGAUUUUGAAGCAAUUUCUCAUCGGUGGUUUUCAACACAAAGACAGCUUCGAUCCAGGGGCAAAAGAGAAGGAGAUGCUCUACCGUUUCAGCUUCUUGAUCACAGAAGGGGCAUGCAUGUCGAGGUAAAAUCUUUCUCCUAUAGAGGUUGUCUGCAGUAGGGAGAGCAUUUUGGCAAACACUCCACAAAAAUAUUCUAACCUUGGGUGGGAUUUGUAAAUUCCAUAUUGUGCACCAUAGCUUGCGGGAUGGCUUGAAAGAUGAUGAUGCUUGCAUUGCAUUUUGUGUGUUUUCCUCUUGACGAAUCUGGUUGUACGCACUUUUCACCGAGAAGACCGCUGACUUUGUAGCUGUCCA